UGCAGUCGAGCGAACAGAUAAGGAGCUUGCUCCUUUGACGUUAGCGGCGGACGGGUGAGUAACACGUGGGUAACCUACCUAUAAGACUGGAAUAACUCCGGGAAACCGGGGCUAAUGCCGGAUAACAUUUAGAACCGCAUGGUUCUAAAGUGAAAGAUGGUUUUGCUAUCACUUAUAGAUGGACCCGCGCCGUAUUAGCUAGUUGGUAAGGUAAUGGCUUACCAAGGCAACGAUACGUAGCCGACCUGAGAGGGUGAUCGGCCACACUGGAACUGAGACACGGUCCAGACUCCUACGGGAGGCAGCAGUAGGGAAUCUUCCGCAAUGGGCGAAAGCCUGACGGAGCAACGCCGCGUGAGUGAUGAAGGGUUUCGGCUCGUAAAACUCUGUUAUUAGGGAAGAACAAACGUGUAAGUAACUGUGCACGUCUUGACGGUACCUAAUCAGAAAGCCACGGCUAACUACGUGCCAGCAGCCGCGGUAAUACGUAGGUGGCAAGCGUUAUCCGGAAUUAUUGGGCGUAAAGCGCGCGUAGGCGGUUUCUUAAGUCUGAUGUGAAAGCCCACGGCUCAACCGUGGAGGGUCAUUGGAAACUGGGAGACUUGAGUGCAGAAGAGGAAAGUGGAAUUCCAUGUGUAGCGGUGAAAUGCGCAGAGAUAUGGAGGAACACCAGUGGCGAAGGCGACUUUCUGGUCUGUAACUGACGCUGAUGUGCGAAAGCGUGGGGAUCAA
rnacentral:rRNA from 1 species